rnacentral:lncRNA from 1 species
CUCCAUAUAUACACAACCUCCCUUCCACCAAAUUCAAAUUCCUAAUAUACCUAUUCCAACAGAUUGGUAUGAGAGCCUAAUACAAGUUUCUUCUUCACAAAAUCCUCUACAUUUCUCGUCUCUCCUCCAUAUAUACACAACCUCCCUUCCACCAAAUUCAAAUGCCUAAUAUACCUAUUCCAACAGAUUUGUAUGAGAGCCUGAUUGAUCAAGUUUGGAGUAGAUAAAUGGCCAACCAUAUGGUUUCUUUUCAAUUUCCUCAGCUUCAUAAAGAUAACUAUGGGAGUUGUUGUAUUUAUAUGAAGGCUUUAUUAGGCUCACAAGAUGAUUGGGAGAUUAUUAAGAAGG